AUUGAACGCUGGCGGAAUGCUUUACACAUGCAAGUCGAACGGCAGCACGGACUUCGGUCUGGUGGCGAGUGGCGAACGGGUGAGUAAUACAUCGGAACGUGCCCAAUCGUGGGGGAUAACGUAGCGAAAGCUACGCUAAUACCGCAUACGAUCUAAGGAUGAAAGCGGGGGAUCGCAAGACCUCGCGCGAAUGGAGCGGCCGAUGGCAGAUUAGGUAGUUGGUAGGGUAAAGGCCGACCAAGCCGACGAUCUGUAGCUGGUCUGAGAGGAUGAUCAGCCACACUGGGACGGAGACACGGCCCAGACGCCUACGGGAGGCAGCAGUGGGGAAUUUUGGACAAUGGACGCAAGUCUGAUCCAGCCAUUCCGCGUGCAGGAUGAAGGCCCUCGGGUUGUAAACUGCUUUUGUACAGAACGAAAAGGCUCUGGUUAAUACCUGGGGCUCAUGACGGUACUGUAAGAAUAAGCACCGGCUAACUACGUGCCAGCAGCCGCCGUAACAC
rnacentral:rRNA from 1 species